rnacentral:lncRNA from 1 species
UGUACACUGAAAAAAAGGGAUUGGCCAACUCUUCGAUUUACGUUUUGAUGCAUCAGGGGUGGCUGGUUCCCUGGCCGUGCUGUGUGGAUGGGCAGGACGGACCUUUCUUAUAGCGUCGCUUCACUCUCAGCCUGAGGCGACAACCCUCCUUUUCUCCAACCUACCCACUUCCAACCUGCUCCCCUCCCUUCCUGCACCAUUGCUGCUCAAUUACAAUAAUAGCAAUAAUAACCUUAUCUACCCAGUGCUUAAAAGACCAGAAUAAUUAAAUGUGAGAUAAGAUAGUACAAUAAUAAAUAAAGGGGGGUCA